UACAGCGGAGCGAAGAGUGCUUGCACCCUAUAGCGUUACGGCAGGACGGGUGAGUAUGCUUAGGAAUCUGCCUAUUAGUCCCCGGGGACAACGUUUCGAAAGGAACGCUAAAUACCGCAUACAGUCCUACGGGAGAAAGCAGGGGAUCUUCGAGACCUUGUGCUAAUCAGAUAGAGCCUAAGUCGGAUUAGCAUAGUUGGUGGGGUAAAGGCCUACCAAAGGCGACACGAUCUGUACGCGGGUCUGAAGAGGAUGAUCCGCCACACUGGAGACUCGAGACACGGCCCAAGACUCCUACGGGAGGCAGACAGCUGGGGAAUAUUGGACACAUUGGGCAGAAAGCCUGAUCCAGCCAUGCACGCAGUGUGUGAAGAAUGAGCCUUUCAGGUUGUAAAAGCACUUUAAGCGAGGAGGAGGCUUCUUUUGGUUAAUACCCAAAGUAAGUGGAACGUUAAUCGCAGAAUAAGCACCGGCUAACUCUGUAGCCAGCAGCCGCGGUAAUACAGAGGGUGCACAGCGUUUAAUCAGGAUUUACUGGGCGUAAAAGCGUGCGUAAGCGGCCUACAUUAAGUCCAAUGUCGAAAUCCCCGAGACUUUCAACUUGGGAAAUUGCCAUCUCGAAUUAACUGGUUAAGCUAAGAGGUAAUGGGGACGAGGAUGGUAAGAACUCACCAAGGUGUAAGACGGUGAAACUGCGUUAGCAGAUCUUAGGCACGAAUUACCGAUUGGCGAAGAGCACCCACACAUGGCCACCCAUAAUGACAGCAAGGUACCAAACCAUUGGGGAACAAAAAGGGAUAAAUACCCUGUAACCAGCCGCAAACCAGUAUAAACAACGG
rnacentral:rRNA from 1 species